GACGUAGGGCGCGAGCGUUGUCCAGAUUUAUUGGGCGUAAAGAGCUCGUAGGCGGCUCGUUGCGUCAACCGUGAAAACCCGGGGCUUAACUUCGGGCUUGCGGUUGAUACGGGCGGGCUGGAGUUCGGUAGGGGAGACUGGAAUUCCUGGUGUAGCGGUGAAAUGCGCAGAUAUCAGGAGGAACACCGGUGGCGAAGGCGGGUCUCUGGGCCGAUACUGACGCUGAGGAGCGAAAGCGUGGGGAGCGAACAGG
rnacentral:rRNA from 1 species